CGGUCCCAAGAGAUCGGGAUAACACCUGGAAACAGAUGCUAAUACCGGAUAACAACAGAUGAUGCCUAUCAACUGUUUAAAAGAUGGUUCUGCUAUCACUCUUGGAUGGACCUGCGGUGCAUUAGCUAGUUGGUAGGGUAACGGCCUACCAAGGCGAUGAUGCAUAGCCGAGUUGAGAGACUGAUCGGCCACAUUGGGACUGAGACACGGCCCAA
rnacentral:rRNA from 1 species